rnacentral:rRNA from 1 species
AGAGUUGAUCAUGGCUCAGGAUGAACGCUAGCGACAGGCUUAACACAUGCAAGUCGAGGGGCAGCAUAAAAGUAGCAAUACUUGGUGGCGACCGGCGCACGGGUGAGUAACGCGUAUGCAACCUACCUAUCAGAGGGGGAUAACCCGGCGAAAGUCGGACUAAUACCGCAUAAAACAGGGGCACCGCAUGGUGAUAUUUGUUAAAGAUUAAUUGCUGAUAGAUGGGCAUGCGUUCCAUUAGGUAGUUGGUGAGGUAACGGCUCACCAAGCCGACGAUGGAUAGGGGAACUGAGAGGUUGGUCCCCCACACUGGUACUGAGACACGGACCAGACUCCUACGGGAGGCAGCAGUGAGGAAUAUUGGUCAAUGGGCGAGAGCCUGAACCAGCCAAGUCGCCGUGAAGGAAGAAGGAUCUAUGGUUCGUAAACUUCUUUUGCAGGGGAAUAAAGUGGAGGACGUGUCCUCUUUUGUAUGUACCCUGAGAAUAAGGAUCGGCUAACUCCGUGCCAGCAGCCGC